GCGGGGGGAUUAGUGGCGAACGGGUGAGUAACACGUGAGUAACCUGCCCUUAACUCUGGGAUAAGCCUUGGAAACGGGGUCUAAUACUGGAUAUUGACUUUCCGCCGCAUGGUGGUUGGUUGAAAGAUUUAUUGGUUUUGGAUGGACUCGCGGCCUAUCAGCUUGUUGGUGAGGUAAUGGCUCACCAAGGCGACGACGGGUAGCCGGCCUGAGAGGGUGACCGGCCACACUGGGACUGAGACACGGCCCAGACUCCUACGGGAGGCAGCAGUGGGGAAUAUUGCACAAUGGGCGCAAGCCUGAUGCAGCGACGCCGCGUGAGGGAUGACGGCCUUCGGGUUGUAAACCUCUUUCAGUAGGGAACAAGGCCAGUGUUUAGCUGGUUGAGGGUACCUGCAGAAGAAGCGCCGGCUAACUACGUGCCAGCAGCCGCGGUAAUACGUAGGGCGCAAGCGUUAUCCGGAAUUAUUGGGCGUAAAGAGCUCGUAGGCGGUUUGUCGCGUCUGCCGUGAAAGUCCGGGGCUCAACCCCGGAUCUGCGGUGGGUACGGGCAGACUAGAGUGAUGUAGGGGAGACUGGAAUUCCUGGUGUAGCGGUGAAAUGCGCAGAUAUCAGGAGGAACACCGAUGGCGAAGGCAGGUCUCUGGGCAUUAACUGACGCUGAGGAGCGAAAGCAUGGGGAGCGAACAGGAUUAGAUACCCUGGUAGUCCAUGCCGUAAACGUUGGGCACUAGGUGUGGGGGACAUUCCACGUUUUCCGCGCCGUAGCUAACGCAUUAAGUGCCCCGCCUGGGGAGUACGGCCGCAAGGCUAAAACUCAAAGGAAUUGACGGGGGCCCGCACAAGCGGCGGAGCAUGCGGAUUAAUUCGAUGCAACGCGAAGAACCUUACCAAGGCUUGACAUGAACCGGAAACACCUGGAAACAGGUGCCCCGCUUGCGGUCGGUUUACAGGUGGGGCAUGGUUGUCGUCAGCUCCUGUCCUGAGAAGUUUGGGGUUAAGUCCCGCAACGAGCGCAACCCUCGUUCUAUGUUGCAGCACGUAAUGGUGGGGAAUCCUAAGAAAACUGCCGGGGUCAACUCGGAGGAAGGUGAGGACAAAGUCAAUCAUCUGCCCCUUAUGUUUGGGGCUCAGCAGCUACAAGGCGGAA
rnacentral:rRNA from 1 species